rnacentral:rRNA from 1 species
GUCUAUGGCCAUACCACCCUGAAUGCGCCCAUUCUGUUUGGUCUCAGUAGCUAAGCAGGGUCAGGCCUGGUUAGUACUUGGAUGGGAGACAGAUCUUCAGAGGAGACUCUCAGAGACAAGCAGUUGGUGACA